GCGCGCGUAGCUCAACUGGAUAGAGUGCCGGCCUCCGAAGCCGUAGGUUGUGGGUUCAACUCCCGCCGCGCGCA
rnacentral:tRNA from 1 species